UACAUUUGAAUGGUUGGUGAGGUAAAGCUUUUCAGGCUUCAAAUUUUCUUGCACACGCGGAAUCAAGCAAACGCAAUGUAGCCACACAAGCCAUCUCCCAAGAACUUUGAGUCAUUUUCUCACUUCGCCACAUGCAAGUUCCACCACCAUUCAUGUUCAAACAAAUCAUCAAGAGUGGAGGUCGAGGUGGAGGGAUAGGUUUGAAUAUACCUACUAGUAAUAGCUCAAUUCAGAGUAGAGGAGUCGGAGCAGACUGCAGAGCCAGUAAUGGUUAGGUGUGCCGGGUGCUUCUUACACCAAUCAAAGAGAGUUGUGAAUAUAAUUGUGAAUUUGUGUGGGAUUGGAAUGAUUAUAUACUGCCUCUGGCUGCUCAAGAAGUGGAAUGAUGGCUUCUCUCAGAUGCUUAUCGUCACUCCUCUUCCUCGACCAUGGUUCAUCUACAUAUGUUUAGCCAUCGGGAUUGCCGUCUGCUUGACCACACUUUAUGGCCAUGUGGUUGCGAACUGCGACAGCAGUUCUAGUCUUUGCAUAUAUAUUGUUUCCAUGUGCUCCAUUCUUCUCCUCCAAGCUGGGGUGAUUGUUGCGAUUUUGUUCAAGAUAGACUGGGCUUGGCAGAAAAACUGGGAUCAAAAUCCAAAACCCGCCAUAUGGUGGAUACAAAUUGGUAUAACAAGUCUUACUAAAUCUUGAGGAAAGUUCUUUAGAUGGUGGAAUUGUUACUAAAUGGAACCCAUUUGAUGGGUCUUGACAUGGUUUCUUGGUGGUCAUUGCAAGUCAUUCUUUAGAAUUGCAUUCAAAUUUUACAGAAUUUUCUCAACUUCCAUCUGAUAAUGUGCCGGUCGGUUUCAGUUGUGGUUCUGGUUGGGCAGAUCAAUGCAGUUGUGCUUGCUAUUCUGAUAUGGGCAAUAGGAACUCAUCCAGGAGCUCACUGCAACAGUCCAGAUCAACAAGAACGCCGUAAUUUCACACAUUCCUUUCUAGUACCGCCCAACUCGCCUAUCCCAGGUUGCUCAAGUGAAUUUCUCAAUGGUAGGCUUUCACAGAUCUCUCUGCCAUAUCUUAAGGAUGGGAGUUCACAGGGCUGUCUGUCAUAUAUUAAGGAUGUGUUCACAGGACUUUUUCAGAGAAGAAACCAGUUCUAGUUCAAAAUUCACAUGAAAAAAUAUACAGAAAAUUUUCCUCUCAAAUACAUUCAUUAAUCAAGGUUAACUCUUUGGGAAUCAAUGCUUCAUUUCAUAUGCCUAAAAAAAAAGCCCAGAUGCUGAUGGAGAAAUGUGUACUGAAUCCUUUGGAUGAUUGCAGCUCAACCCUGAUAAUCACCCAUCUUGGCUGGGGGUGCAGCUGAGCUAUGGUUGAUCUUUUGGGGCAUUUGGGUGGAGCUCUCUCUCUUUGUGGAUGGAUAUAUAGUAGGAUAGUCUCCUGCUUCAUGCUAAGUAAGCACCCUCUCCCUCUCACAAAGAUUCCCCUAGUCGAUGUGGGAUAUCAUAUGCUAUGUAAGCACUCUUUCAUAACCGAUGUGGGAUAUCACAAGUCGUGUAAGCACCUACAUGCUGAUAUUUUUAGAUCCCGAUGGGAUUUCACGGAUUUAAAAUGUUUCUAAACAAUCAAAAGGAAUCUUUUAUAUACAUUUUUUUUUCCCUUCCA